CUCAAACCCAUAAAAUGACUCAGCAUAUAUUUAUCCUAACAACUUAGGCUUGACAUGAAGCCUGAAUUAAUGAAGGUGGAAAUUUGUUAAAAAUAAAACAAAUUAGUGAACCCAAUUAUUACAAACCAAUAAUCAACAAACUUAGUAAAAAUUUUACACGAGACAAUCUUAUGUCAAUAGACCAGAUGAAGUAUAUUAGUUCCCAAAUAAGAACUCUUCAUUCUUUAUUCCUUUUCUGUUGUUCGGGCCCUGCUAUUUUUUCAAAUUUCAUUCAAAAACAAAGAUGCUUCUUUUCCACUCAACUAGCUUGAACAUUUUAAAAUCCAAACACCACUCGUAAUUAAAUGACAUGCAUAUUGCAGUAUGUUUUAAGUGUUAAGAUCAUCCCAAUACAGUAAGAAAUCUAACCAAACAAAUCAAAACCAUAUGAGUAAAAUAAACAAAACAACAUGAACAAUCUUGUAUAGAUCUAUGUUAAAUUCACACACUGGCAUUUUAAAUCACAUCUAACAUAGCAUGACAUUUGAACAUGAAAGUGAAUAAUUAUUGCAAAUUUCAUAACAUAAGAUUAUUCAAGCAAUAUUUACAUCAUUGGAAGUGUGAAACUCAUACCUUGACAGCAGUAAUAGCAAAAGAAACCAAGAAAAAAUAGAAGAAGAGCUUUCUGAAUCAUGAAAAAGAAACGAGCAGCAACAAGCAAUCAACAAUCGAGUGAGCUUGGGUCCCAAAACUGAAGGUUCGACCACAAUACAAACAAAACCAAAGCAAGAAGGAGUGACUAAUUAACUCGAAUAGCCAUGAAGAAAACCAAAAUUCUGUUCUUAAACCUCCGAAACUCCCAGCAAAGACCUCAAAAAAAUAGAAGGAAACUCAAAAAUUUCUUAAGAAUCCUUUUGAAAAAUUGGUUUUCAUCCAUUUGUGUUUUUUCUAUCCUUUUUUCUGUGCCCUAAUUAUUGGCAAGAGGGUCCUUUUAUAGAAGGAAUUUUAGGGCUAUC
rnacentral:lncRNA from 1 species